AAACUGUGGCGUAUGAAACCAUAAACAACAUUUUCUUUUUCGUCUUUCCGCACCAUCCCCAAAACUCAUAAAUCUUUAUGCGCGAGCGCUCUCUUUCCGCGCACCAUCAUCUAUGCUUAUGCUGGGAUGCUCCUCAUCAUC
ensembl:ncRNA ZK381.42 ncRNA